GUUUGUUUUUGUUUGUUUUUGGGGAGUGUAGGCUUUUUGGUUUCUAUCAUUAAGAGGGAUGGAGGCUUCUCAUUAGAUGGUUGACUUGGUUGGUUUUUCUGAUCUGAAAAUCGUGAUGAAGGUUUAUAGAUUUUACCCCGUUUUUCAUCUGUUUCAUGUUCCUCUUUAGAUGCAUUAACAAUUCCUCCUCUUACAAAUGUUUUCACUUUAUUGCCAUCGCUUCCCUCAAAGGCAGCAAGGAAUUCUUCAUAAAUUUCUGCAGCAGCCUUCUCAUCCUCCUUCUUUUUUAAUUCUUCUUGUUCCUUCUUGCUCAAAGUCCGUUUGGCAGCACUCAUUUUGCCAAUGCUGAACGCUUUAAGUUUACUUUCCAUUAAAGGAUGUGUAUCAGCAGACCCAGUGUUAUGUACCGCAUCUGGAGCUCUGACCUUCCCACUGCCUUUCUGCGAGCCGCCGGGCGCCUUGUCCGCCAUCUUGCCUCUCCCUGCGCUCAGCCCCG
rnacentral:lncRNA from 1 species